rnacentral:rRNA from 1 species
CCUACGGGUGGCAGCAGUGGGGAAUAUUGCACAAUGGGGGAAACCCUGAUGCAGCGACGCCGCGUGAGUGAAGAAGUAAUUCGUUACGUAAAGCUCUAUCAGCAGGGAAGAAACACUGACCUUACGGUCAGCAGACGGUACCUGAGUAAGAACCCCCGGCUAACUACGUGCCAGCAGCCGCGGUAAUACGUAGGGGGCAAGCGUUAUCCGGAUUUAUUGGGUGUAAGGGGAGCGUAGAGGGGGCGCCAAGUCUAGAGUGAAAUGCCGGCGCUUAACUGCGGAACUGCUUUGGAAACUGGCGAACGAGAGUGCGGGAGGGGUAAGCGGAAUUCCUAGUGUAGCGGUGAAAGGCGUAGAUAUUAGGAGGAACACCGGUGGCGAAGGCGGCUUACUGGACCGUAACUGACGUUGAGGCUCGAAAGCGGGGGGAGCAAACAGGAUUAGAUACCCGAGUAGUC